rnacentral:rRNA from 1 species
UACGUAGGGGCCGAGCGUUGUCCGGAUUCAUUGGGCGUAAAGAGCGUGUAGGCGGCCGCUUAAGUCCUGCGUGAAAUCUCGGAGCUCAACUCCGAGCGGUCGUGGGAAACUGGGCGGCUAGAGUCCUGGAGAGGAAGGUGGAAUGCUUGGUGUAGAGGUGAAAUUCGUAGAUAUCAAGCGGAACACCGGUGGCGAAGGCGGCCUUCUGGACAGUGACUGACGCUGAGACGCGAAAGCGUGGGGAGCA